GGUGAUCUUAAUAAUAUUUUAAUAGAUUUCGACAUUCGAAAUAAGAUAUGACUCCUUGUUAUGUAUGUGUACGUGAAUAAACAAUCUUAAUUCUUCGAAAUAAGGUAUGACUCAUCGUCAUGUAUGUGUACGCGAGUAAACAAUCUAGGUCAUGUUGUUUAUAGACCGGUCGGAUCCUGUCGGAUUUAUUACGUAUGAGUAAUUAGAUAUCAGUAAACAUUCCUUUGUGUUAUAUCGGAGAACGCGUAGAAGCUUCAUUUCAGUUUAAACAUUUGUUGUGUUAAGACGUAUAUCGUAAUUUGGUGUCUUCAAAUAUGGAAGCCGUGGAAGCGUUAAAAGAGUAUUUUCUCGACGAACGACGGUACUGUUAUGUGUAAUCUUUUGACGGACUCGACCAUCAAGAGAAUGAAAAUUGAAGAGGUUCUUGCAAACUAAAGAAUGGAAUGAGAUGGAGUAUAUGCGAGAACAAAUUUUGGAACGAACAAUCUGGAGCAGAAAGAAAAGCGGAAAUGUAAAAAUUAUCGAAAUAUCUCGGAAAUGAAAGCUGAAGAGAAUUGGGUUCGAAGUAGGACGUUAAUAAAACCAGAGCUUUAAUUGCUGAAUUCCCCAUUGAUUAAUGGCUCUUCGAGACAGUCGGGGAAAGAGAUGGAUGGUACUUCGAACGACUCGACGAUUUUAAAGAGGAACAUACUAGUUCUCGUUUCUCCCCGACGUUUCAACUUAUUAACUUAUUCUCUGUUUUAAUAAAUUAUUAUGUCCAAUAAACAUUUAUUUAAACAUAUCUACACGUAUAAUAUAUACAUAAC